UCUGUGAUAGCUUAGUCUGUAGAGUAUGAGACUGUUAAUCUCACUCCAGGUUGGGGGUUCGAGCCCCAUGUAGGGUGAAAGAU